GACGGAGGAUGCAAGCGUUAUUCGGAAUUAUUGGGCGUAAAGGGCGCGUAGGCGGCGUCUCAAGUGGAUGGUGAAAUCCCUCGGCUCAACCGAGGAACUGCAUCCGAUACUGGCCGGGCUUGAAUCCGGGAGAGGGAUGUGGAAUUCCAGGUGUAGCGGUGAAAUGCGCAGAUAUCAGGAGGAACACCGAUUGCGAAGGCAGCUCGCUGGGACGUUACUGACGCUGAGACGCGAAAGCGUGGGGAGCAACAGG
rnacentral:rRNA from 1 species